UUUGAAGAAAUUACCUUUUGAAAAAACAACAUUGCAGCUGAUACUAUUAUAAGAAAGGUGCUUGCUGCUUCCACCUGGAAAACCUGGCAAAGGAACACAAAGGAGGGAACAAGACAGUAAAGAUGUGCCAUAGCCUGCUGGCUGAACUUUAUAGAAAAAUAUGCACAUCAAGUGAGACCAAAGACCCAAGAUCUGACUUCCUUCAUGGCUUUACCUCACCCAGCUGCAUGGUGUCUCUCUUUACUUUCCCCAGUGCCCUCCUCACUUUAUCAGCUGUCUUGUCCUUGCCCAUCACCACUGCAGAGUCAAAACCCCAGCUCUGCUGAAGAAGAUGGGCAUUGUUCCAUAGGUUUCAGCAAAGCCAAGAUUUCCCUUGAGCUAGGAGUGGUUUUGCCAUGUUUGGCAGGCAAGCCCUGCUCGCUCCUUCUGCCAGAGUGGCAGAGAGGGAAGCAUCUGGAAACAGACUCAGUGCUUCCGCCUUCCCACACUGUGUGACACUCUCUGCCUGCCAUGGGCUUGUAGUGGGCACAGAAAUAGUAUGGAGAUGAGUUUUGAAUUAAAACUUAGGUAGGUAAGCAGACAGCUUCUGGCCAGAGGAAUAAUAAUAAUUUCUGGUAAUAGCAAUUGUCACACUAGUGCCUGCUGAGGGAUGCAGACAGUUAUCAGACACCAAAAUUGCUAAAGGGAGACGGAUGAGUCAGCAAGAUAAAACUAAAAAUUCAGAUGUGCUCUGAGAAUAUGCUAGGGUGUGUUAUGGUCAAACCAGAAGCACUUAGUUUGUUUUUUCAACAUAAUGUGGCAGAUUCUGCAUUGUCAUUCUUGACUGUGAUGUUCAUGAUGUCAGAGAAUGUGACUUUAAAGAAUAAUUUAUUUUCUUGAACUGCUUACAGUCUUCCAUCUACUUAUUAUUAGGAAUACAAAUAUGUGCUUCAUGUUUUAAAUUAAAAAUGGAAAGCUUAUUAAUCAUUGAGAAAUUCUAAAAAUAUUAAUUUUGAAAUAUUAACAUCGCAAAGCUUUUCCCAGCAAUAUAUAAAGCAAACCCUUCACAAUGACAUUUUGUUGCCAGAUUUUGGGUUUUGAUUAAGGCAGACUUAUGAUGUUUUUUUACCAAACUAGUAAUUCUCUUUUGGGUAUUGCUAAUCUUUAGAAUUUAAAUUGCAAUUAAAGAUAAAUUAACAGAG